rnacentral:rRNA from 1 species
UACGUAGGUGGCAAGCGUUGUCCGGAUUUAUUGGGCUUAAAGGGUGCGUAGGCGGCUUUAUAAGUCAGUGCUGAAAUAUCCCGGCUUAACCGGGAGGGUGGCAUUGAUACUGUAGGGCUUGAGUAAAGUUGAGGUUGGCGGAAUUGACGGUGUAGCGGUGAAAUGCUUAGAUAUCGUCAAGAACACCGAUAGUGAAGACAGCUAACUAAGCUUUAACUGACGCUGAGGCACGAAAGUGUGGGGAUCAAACAGG